UACGGGGGGGGCAAGCGUUGUUCGGAAUUACUGGGCGUAAAGGGCUCGUAGGCGGCCAACUAAGUCGGACGUGAAAUCCCUCGGCUUAACCGGGGAACUGCUUCCGAUACUGGAUGGCUUGAGUGUGGGAGAGGGAUGCGGAAUUCCAGGUGUAGCGGUGAAAUGCGUAGAUAUCUGGAGGAACACCGGUGGCGAAGGCGGCAUCCUGGACCGGCAUUGACGCUGAGGCGCGAAAGCCAGGGGAGCAAACGGG
rnacentral:rRNA from 1 species